UACGAAGGGGGCUAGCGUUGUUCGGAAUCACUGGGCGUAAAGGGCGCGUAGGCGGUCUGCUAAGUUGGAUGUGAAAACUCUGGGCUUAACCCAGAGCCUGCAUUCAAUACUGACAGGCUAGAGUUCUGGAGGGGAUAGCGGAAUUCCUGGUGUAGCGGUGAAAUGCGUAGAUAUCAGGAGGAACACCGGUGGCGAAGGCGGCUAUCUGGACAGAGUCUGACGCUGAGGCGCGAAAGCUAGGGGAGCAAACAGG
rnacentral:rRNA from 1 species